CCUACGGGUGGCAGCAGUGGGGAAUAUUGGACAAUGGGGGCAACCCUGAUCCAGCCAUGCCGCGUGUGUGAAGAAGGCCCUCGGGUUGUAAAGCACUUUCAGUGAGGAAGAACGCCUGGUGGUUAAUACCCAUCAGGAAAGACAUCACUCACAGAAGAAGCACCGGCUAACUCCGUGCCAACAGCCGCGGUAAUACGGAGGGUGCGAGCGUUAAUCGGAAUUACUGGGCGUAAAGCGCGCGUAGGUGGCUUGAUAAGCCGGUUGUGAAAGCCCCGGGCUCAACCUGGGAACGGCAUCCGGAACUGUCAAGCUAGAGUGCAGGAGAGGAAGGUAGAAUUCCCGGUGUAGCGGUGAAAUGCGUAGAGAUCGGGAGGAAUACCAGUGGCGAAGGCGGCCUUCUGGACUGACACUGACACUGAGGUGCGAAAGCGUGGGUAGCAAACAGGAUUAGAUACCCCUGUAGUC
rnacentral:rRNA from 1 species